GUCCAGCAGAGUCUCAUUGCCUCUCAUGUGCUCUUUCUUCGUCAGGCCGGACAAAACACGCAGGUCGUCUUCGUAGUAGCACUCCUGAUCCCCGCUAAACCUGAGACACAACAGUUCCAGAUACAUAUGGACAAACAGCGGGUAGAAGACCUGGGACAGCUCGGCUCUGUGGCAGUCCAAAACGGUCUCUAUGAACUUCUUCAGGCUGCUGUAGUAGACCUCGUACAGAGCUGGAUCUCCCUGCUGGCUGUAAGCUGACAGCACCACGCUGACGUCUGGCUGAUCCUCUCCAGCUGCUGCUGAAACAGUGAGGUACAAGACCCCAAGACACCCCACACCCAAAAUUUCCAACAAAAUCUACGCCCAUGAAUGGGAUUAACUGGAAAGAGCUCAUGAAUUACAAUUUUUUUUGUCAAAGUUGGAUGUUUGUUAUUAUAUGCAUACCUGAAAAACAGAACUGUUUCGCCUCUGUGUUUGCAAUGAGACAGCUGCAUCAAGUGAUAUGAAGGAUGCACUACUAGUUAAUGGUCUCGGGUUCAAAAACUUUAUAAAUGCAGCACUAAAGUCCAAAAAGACAACAAAGACGUGAGGAACGUCGGACAAUGUGAUGAAAUCUAAGCAGCCUGGCAAAAGCAUUACUAAACCUCUCACAAAAGCACCAUGAGCUCUUACAUGGUAGCUAAUGUAUUUUUCCUCUGUAGAUGUACAACUACGUUGUUAAUAAUGAAAGGAAACUUGUUUAAAACGCGUGAGUCGGUGUUUCAAAUGUAAACUCGGCAGCAGUCAGGCUGAUCCGUACCUUUGAU